GACUGGAAGACCAUGGCGAUGCCCCGCCUGACCGGCGGCAGAUCGUUGAC
rnacentral:sRNA from 1 species